rnacentral:rRNA from 1 species
CGGAAAGUGUAUAGAGUGGCGCACGGGUGAGUAACACGUAGGUUAUCUACCUCUGAGUGGGGAAUAACAACCGGAAACGGUUGCUAAUACCGCAUAAUACCGAAAGGUCAAAGCUUUAGUGCUUGGAGAGGAGCCUGCGGCAGAUUAGCUAGUUGGUAAGGUAAUGGCUUACCAAGGCGACGAUCUGUAUCCGGUCUAAGAGGACGGUCGGACACACUGACACUGAAUAACGGGUCAG